UCCACUGGAACUUGCAAGCAUUUCAGGGUUGCUGGUGGGUGAACAUGAAUCUGGAUUUGUUUCCAGGAAAAACCUCUGUUGACAAAUCCCUCCCUCUGUCCUAGGAAGCCACAGCCUAAGGAAGAAACCAUGCCAUGGGACUGUGGCUGCUCUGGACUGUGCAGGCUGCCAGGAAGGAAUGGUGGAGGUUCACGACCCAGGGACAGGAGACCUUGGGAAGGUCAGGACAGCUGGAAGUGUGAAAUGAAUGCAGCCCUGCAUAGCUGUCAAAGGAUCAAGCUGUCUGCGGCGGCCGACUGACCAUGCACACACACACUCGGCAGCACCCGGCUAGGCAUUACCUACUUCACCACCGAUGUAGAAGUCAGUGUUUGUCGGGUGAACGACAGCAUCACUGUCGAUCGAGGCAAUGUCAGCCUGUACAACUUGCAACUAUAACAGGUAAACAAAUGUAUAUCAACUGUGUUGGACCGAGACCCACGCACAGGCACAUUUACUAAUGCCCCAAUGGCAGGGCUGGCCUACCUGGUCGAUUCCAACAUAUGAGCCCAAGGGGCAAUCAGUCCACGCAGUGUGCGCACAUGUGGAUGGGGGUAAGGACAGGAGGAGGAGGAAUAUCAAAUGUGACAUGUUUAAAUUAAACAUUUGAAUGACAAGUCCAAAAAAAGAGAAACACACAUGAGAUCAUUUCCAAAGGUUAAAAGAAAUAAAACGAAUGCCCCGUUUCACUUCGCAAAAGCCUAUAGAACUGGCAUCCCACUGAGAAGGCUACUAAAACAUGGCAUCUGCUUAAAAAAAAAAAAAAAAGUGGACCAUCAGGCCAACCAAAACAACAAGUUUCUCCAUUCUGUCUGUAGCAGUCAACUUGCAGCCUAGAUUUUUUAUUCUUGUAACAUUUACCAUUUUGUCUACCUUCAAGGGAUUU